rnacentral:tRNA from 1 species
AAGACUUUAAGUUAAUAAAACUAAUAACCUUCAAAUUUAUAUUUAAAGAAAUCUUCUUUAGGUCUUA